CUCCCUCUGGACUGGCCGCAUCUAGAGGACCCCCCACAGAGACCCCAACCCCGUCAGGCUGAUCCAAGGCGGUGGUUGGCAGAGUCAGGGACCCAAGGUUCCAGCCAGGCAUCUCACCUUCUGCACUGAAGCAGGGAAGAGGGAGCCGUGAGCCCUCAGACUGACCCUGACGCCCAGCCACUCUUCACCUCGUCAGGAUGAGAAUGUCAGGUGUGCUUCGCCUCCUGGCCGUAAUUUUUGCCGUGGUUACCACGUGGCUUUUCAUCCGCGAAUAUAUCGACUUCAACAUGAAAACCCUCCGCCUGCCCCGCUGGAUGGGUUCAGCCCACAAGAACUCUUCACAGUUGGUGAAGACCAAGUGUGGCCUCAGCAAAUCCUGCCAAGACAACUUCUUUGCGUUUAAAAUUGUCAGUGGGGCCGCCAACGUCGUGGGCCCCACCAUGUGCUUUGAGGACCAAAUGUAAGUUUCUGGCAUUUCAUUACUUUCAUGCCUUCAUUCAUCAGCAAGUUCAGAGGCCUCAGGGUGGCCCUGAGACCAGCCCACACCUUCCACACACUUCCUUUUACUCUGGGU